rnacentral:rRNA from 1 species
GAUGAACGCUAGCGGCAGGCUUAACACAUGCAAGUCGAGGGGUAGAGGAAGCUUGCUUCCUUGAGACCGGCGCACGGGUGCGUAACGCGUAUACAAUCUACCUUUUACAGAGGGAUAGCCCAGAGAAAUUUGGAUUAAUACCUCAUAGUAUUUUCGGAUCGCAUGAUUUGAUUAUUAAAGUUCCAACGGUAAAAGAUGAGUAUGCGUCCCAUUAGCUAGAUGGUAAGGUAACGGCUUACCAUGGCAAUGAUGGGUAGGGGUCCUGAGAGGGAGAUCCCCCACACUGGUACUGAGACACGGACCAGACUCCUACGGGAGGCAGCAGUGAGGAAUAUUGGACAAUGGGCGCAAGCCUGAUCCAGCCAUGCCGCGUGCAGGAAUAAGGUCCUAUGGAUUGUAAACUGCUUUUAUACAGGAAGAAACACACCCUCGUGAGGGUACUUGACGGUACUGUAUGAAUAAGGACCGGCUAACUCCGUGCCAGCCGCCGCGGUAA